rnacentral:rRNA from 1 species
CCUACGGGUGGCAGCAGUGGGGAAUAUUGCACAAUGGGGGAAACCCUGAUGCAGCAACGCCGCGUGAGUGAAGAAGUCAUUCGUGAUGUAAAGCUCUAUCAGCAGGGAAGAAAAUGACGGUGCCUGACUAUGAAGCACCGGCUAACUACGUGCCAGCAGCCGCGGUAAUACGUCGGGGGCAAGCGUUAUCCGGAUUUACUGGGUGUAAAGGGAGCGUUGGCGGCGACGCAAGUCAGAAGUGAAAUGCCCGGGCUAAACACAUGGACUGCUUUGGAAACUGUGUGGCUAGAGUGCAGGAGAGGUAAGUGGAAUUCCGAGUGUAGCGGUGAAAUGCGUAGAUAUUAGGAGGAACACCAGUGGCGAAGGCGGCUUACUGGACUGUAACUGACGUUGAGGCUCGAAGGCGUGGGGAGCAAACAGGAUUAGAUACCCGAGUAGUC